UACGUAGGUUGCAAGCGUUGUCCGGAUUUACUGGGUGUAAAGGGCGUGUAGGCGGAGAUGCAAGUUGGGAGUGAAAUCCCGAGGCUCAACCCCGGAACUGCUUUCAAAACUGUAUCCCUUGAGUGUCGGAGAGGCAAGCGGAAUUCCUAGUGUAGCGGUGAAAUGCGUAGAUAUUAGGAGGAACACCAGUGGCGAAGGCGGCUUUCUGGACGACAACUGACGCUGAGGCGCGAAAGUGUGGGGAGCAAACAGG
rnacentral:rRNA from 1 species